AUGGUGCUUCAAUCUGCUCCGCUCCAAGGAUCACAAAUGGAACUUUUCCAGUUCUUGCUCAAAACAGAGGUCAUUUAUCCGUCGCCCUGUUCGAUAAUCGAAGCCAUUGCCUUAGUCCGUGCAGAAGUGGAUUUGGAAAUUGCCAUCGCCAUCCUCAGUGAUGUAGCUUUCACCAUGUACAUACAAUUGCUCUCCUUCUCUCUUCUAGUUUUGACCCCGAACUGUCCGCUAGCCGAUGUGAUACAUCAGUGGACACCUUCGCGAUCCGUUCAAAAGGGCGAACAGGCCGUGCUAAAUUGUUAUCAGAAUGAGACAGUUCGUAGCAACAUGCUCUGGUAUCGCCAGAAACCUGGACAUGGUUUCAAACUCAUCGGCUAUCAGUACAGGAGCGAUGAAGCGGUGAAUGAAGAUGACUUCAAAAUCCGAUUUGAGAUCACACGAGCCAUGAACGAUAGGAUGUCUAUCCUGAAAAUUAGCGAUGUUGGCCCCGCAGACGAGGCAAAUUAUUUCUGUGCAGCCAAGGAUGCGACACAGCGCUGCGGAGUCAUUCGGAAACCUGACAAAAACUGUCGCAGAGUAACGGCUGACAACUCAUGUAUCCAACACGUUGCCGCCUGA